AAUUGGUCGAGAGCUGAUGCCACUCUCCUGACGAGGCCAUGGCAAACCGAAACUAGUU
rnacentral:hammerhead_ribozyme from 1 species